GAAGAGCUUUGAGGCGAUUGAGUUGCAGAAGACAGCGACGAGGCGGUGGUCGGAUGGUCGGAAACUCGGAAUCCUGGUAGUGGUCAGAUGGUGGGUGGUUGUCGAUGGUCGGACGGUCGGUGGUGGUCGCGAACUGGUGGAAUCCUGGUGGUGGCCGAUUGUGUCUCUGUGUUCGAGAGGGAGAUCGGGAGAGGGAGAGGGAGAUCGUGAGAAGGAGAGGGAGGAGGGAGGAGGGAAGGAGGGCGAAAAGAGAGAGGGAGGCGCACGACCCAGCCUUAAGUAAAACUGUAAAACACUUACCCAAAACGACCCCGUUUUCCUUCACUUACACUAGGCGCACGCCUUAUGCGCCUUGGGGUGCGUUUUUUGCGCCUUUUGCGCCUUGUGCUACACCUUUUGCGCCUUUGCGCCUAACCAGCAAAACACGAGGAAUUUUUCAUGCGCCUCGCGCCUUUUGAGCCUCAAGGCGCGCCCGAGGCGCGUUUUUUAAAACAUUGAUGGUAG
rnacentral:lncRNA from 1 species